GGCAGUGAGGGCUUAGUGGUUAUGGCUCUGGGUUACGGAUCAGAAGGUCAGGGGUUCAAGACCCCAGCACCGCCA